rnacentral:rRNA from 1 species
CCCUUAGAUGUUCUGGGCCGCACGCGCGCUACACUGAUGCAUUCAACGAGCCUAUCCUUGACCGACAGGUCCGGGUAAUCUUUGAAUCUGCAUCGUGACGGGGAUAGAUUAUUGCAAUUAUUAAUCUUCAACGAGGAAUGCCUAGUAGGCGCAAGUCAUCAGCUUGCGUCGAUUACGUCCCUGCCCUUUGUACACACCGCCCGUCGCUCCUACCGAUUGAAUGGCUUAGUGAGGCUUCCGGAUUGGUUUAGAGAAGGGGGCAACUCCAUCUUGGAACCGAGAAGCUAGUCAAACUUGGUCAUUUAGAGGAAGUAAAAGUCGUAACA